UACGUAGGGGGCAAGCGUUGUCCGGAUUUAUUGGGCGUAAAGCGCGCGUAGGCGGCGCGGUAUGUCGUGCGUGAAAUCUCCCGGCUUAACUGGGAGGGGCCGUGCGAAACUGCCGGGCUUGAGGUCGGAAGGGGAAAGUGGAAUUCCGGGUGUAGUGGUGAAAUACGUAGAUAUCCGGAGGAACACCAGCGGCGAAGGCGGCUUUCUGGUCCGAUACUGACGCUGAGGUGCGAAAGCGUGGGGAGCGAUCCGG
rnacentral:rRNA from 1 species